rnacentral:rRNA from 1 species
CUAAGAAUAUUCCGCAAUGGACGAAAGUCUGACGGAGCGACGCCGCGUGGAUGAAGAAGGCCGCAAGGUUGUAAAAUCCUUUUGCUGGGGAAGAAUAAGUCCAGGAGGGAAUGCCUGGAUGAUGACAUGAACCGGCGACUAAGCCCCGGCCAACUACGUGCCAGCAGCCGCGGUAACACGUAGGGGGCAAGCGUUGUUCGGAAUUCCUGGGCGUAAAGGGCAGGUAGGCGGUUUAGUAAGCUUGGCGUGAAAGACCACAGCUCAACUGUGGUGUUGCGUUGGGAACUGCUGAACUUGAGUUACGGAGAGGGAGCGAGAAUUCCUGGUGUAGGGGUGGAAUCUGUAGAGAUCAGGAAGAAUACCGGUGGCGAAGGCAAGCUUCUGGCCGAUAACUGACGCUGAGGUGCGAAAGUGUGGGGAUCAAACA